CACUAGGAAGCUAGGCAACAGCACUAGCCUUUUAAGCUAGAGAAAGAGGACCACUAACCCUCCCUAAUGA
rnacentral:tRNA from 1 species